rnacentral:lncRNA from 1 species
CGUGUUUCCGGUGUUUAAUAAUCAGUCGCAGCUGCUGCUUGUCUCACAGAAAUAAAAUGUCGCUCCUUAAUUCAGAUAGAUCACCUCCUGUCUCCAAAGUCUGGAUCGCACUGAGACGACUUGACAAAAACGAUGAACGAGUAGUGGCUCUUCGAAAUGUAUCCAUUCCUCAGGCUGAUAGUACUACAAUAAUCCAGAUUCUUUCCGAUUCCUUUGGGUUGAACACUUCUAAUGUCGUAUUCAAGAUUAGGAACCACCGUGGACGUCUGAUCCCUAUAAAUAGCUCCAUACCUGCCAACAGCAAGCACAUGUACGUACAGUUGUGUGUGUGUGUGUGUGUCUUCUGUUGUACCCAUACAGUGCACACACUGAUUGUGUAUUUUACACACUUUGUUUCCUACAGACCUCAUGUGUUGGAGCUAACCCGAAUCUUUCAGCAUGUGCAACCUAAACCCAGGAGCAUUCCCAUGACUGUGAUCAACACCAGUAUGAAGACGCGUCUGCAGACCAUUAACAGGAGGAUCCAGAGACUGAGUGACCAUCUGCCUCAGAUUAAACUCCGGCACAAUGAAAGACUAACGCAGGUAUUGAUAAUUAAAUUAAACACAAUGCUACGUUGGUAUGAGAAAUAUCAAAAUAAUACUAAAAAUGUCUGGGGUUCCUAAAGAUUUUCAUUUUGUUGGAAAACAAGCCUAAAUGUAUAAUAUAAUCUUGUGUCAGGAGAUCGAAUGCCUCAACCAGAAGUUGAGUUUUCUUCACAAGAGGAUGCAAGUGAGUCUUUCUCAUCAAAUAUUUAGAUUUUGAUCAAUUCUGGUCAAACAAAAUUGCAUUUAUUGUUAAGUUACAUAUUUAGUACCGUUACCAUUUAACACGUUUUAAUGUCUUGUCCAUAAGAAGGAACAUAUGCUAAGGUCCUCCAGUUGAUUCACUUUAAACAUGGCUGACAUGUUCCCAAAAAUAUAUACUGUAAUACUUGUUUAUCUAUUUGUUUAAAUCUUCUCCUUUUUUUUUUUUUUGUAAAAUACACACCAUGUUUCUAGAGGUUCUGACUGAUUUCUGUGACUGCAGGUUGCAGAUUCCCACAGUUGGAAAGGAAUGCUGACCAGAGCCCCUUUCUGGUAGAACAAGAAAACUGUUGAAAUCAUUUAUUUAUUAGAAUGUUAUUCUAUUAUUUAGUUGUUGUUUUUUGCCUAACAAUUAAUGAGUUAUUCACUUGAAGUGUGAUAAUUUGUUACUAUCUAGAUUUAAGUUUAGCUUUAUGGUGUUUCAAUAAAAUGUACAGUAUGUUGUAAAUGUUCGUAUUA